CGGAUCUCGGCUCGCCUCCGUGCGGCUCAUGCCACGAAAAUACCAAAUUGGCCUUACGCUGGGCUCCGCCAGACGAAAAUACAACUGCGCGGGGCUCGCCGCCCUCCGCCGCCUCACCGGCGCGAACGAAAAUAGAGCCCAUAGUCUCAAUGCAAGAAGCGGCCUCUGAAAUAGACAAACAGUUAUGGCGUGACCGAGGUGCAACACAGGAUACCACAGGAUUGUGGAGGAAUCAUGAAGGGCUGAUGGUGGCACCUCCAGACCUACUUGGAUUAUUGAUUCAAGAGGCACAUGGGUUAGCACAUGUUGCAAGGGGGGAAGUUAAAAGAAACAUCAUAAAGGAGUAGGUUUCUGGACACCACAUUUGCGUGAGCAAAUUGAUUUAUCAUAAGUAGAUGUACAAUGUGUCUAAAAAAUAAUGUUCAAAGGUGUAACAGUUGAAGCUUGUUCAACCAAGUGGAAACAUGCUCAGUAUGUUGCCAAGUUCUUGUGUAGGGAGGUCAUAAGCAGAUGGGGACUUUCAGAGUAAAUAUUCUAAGAUAAUGGAGAAGAGUGUGUGGAUAAAACAGUGAAACUGAUUUGAAAAAACUAAGAACUGAACAAUGUUUGGGAGCUGUGUACCAUCCGCAAAGCCAAGGUAUCUGUGAAAAAAUGAAUGGGGUGAUGAAAAACCCGCUGGGUAAGAUUGGCCAGUACAGGUUUACAUUUUGAUGUCAUGAAGGGGGAGUAUUACGUAGGGGGAAAUAGGAUAAACAUGUCAAACAAACAAAAAUGUAUGUUUUUGGCAAGAUACUGCUUAAUUUUUUCAUUCUCAGGACAGCAGUUGGGGAGACCAGCGAAAGAAAGGUGGUUCUCCAGAGAUCUAAACAGCCUUAAUGGACCCACACCUCCCAACAAGACAAUCAAACAUGGACAAUGUAAACACAACUGAAACCUGACAGAAGAUGUGAACAAGAACAUUGCAUUGGAUACCCAAACAGAGAACACCCAUGGACAAGAACACUACACAAG